UGCACUUGUUUUCCUGUUUUGUAUUUGGAGUUUUUUUAAGCUCCGAUGAAAUAUCGGAGCUUUCCGAUGCGGAACCUUCAGGGAGAAGUCUGGUUAUUUAUAGGUAUGGAGGUUUUAGUCGACUGCAGGUGCAUUUGCUUGAGUGAAAAUUAAUAUAUGAUCACGUAUAGAAAGUGCCAAAGAGAGUGAUAACUUAGAAGGUAGAGUUGAUAUGAAGUACAAAGGCUACGCUACCACACACUAGAAGACGGCAUAACUCGGAGUAAACAAGAUAUUAUCGUCGCUGCACAAAAUCGGUUCGAGAUGGUCAAAUUAUGCUCUACGUGGUUUAUGAACAGCCCCUUAAAUAUUUAAAUGUGCAUUUAUCGGGUUCUUCUAUCACUCGAGGAGGAAUAUAGCCUUGGCAAUCGGGGUGGUUGCAUACUUUCAGAUCAUUUCUGGCACAAGACAGGCAGAUCGAUCCCUAGCACGGACAUCAAAAUGCAGCCGUCUUGCAUUAAAAGCUGAUUCGUGCUGGCCCCAUUGGGAUUAGUUUUCCUAGACAAAAACAAGAUAUGAAAACAGCUGUCAACUAAACGGCGAACUGUCAACUAAAAUACAAUUCCAGGACGACUGAUGGACCCAAACCAAUAAAUAAAACCUCGUCAUCCUGUGUUCAGAAGAUAUUAUUCCUCUAGAUAACAGGGCUGUUGGCCUACCCCAUUAGGCCAGCGCGCACAUCUAUCACCGCAGUAUUCUCUGCCAAACGAACGGUGUGAUGGAUGACAUAGGAGUGACAGGUAUACGGCCUGUCACCGGGUGAGUGAAGGAUAUAGAUAAAUUGCAUUGUCACUGCUUGAUUAUAUCUAAACAAGUAAGCUUAAUUCUAGUGUAAUUUACAUUGAAAUCAUUCCUUAAACUAGUGAACUAUAACAAAAAUUAUACUAUUUGGUACAUGCACCUAAUACUGGAAACCUAAACUGCUGUACUUCCAUCCCGUGUCACCCAGAGCAAUCUAUGAUCUACCGAUUCGGAACUACUGCUAAGCUCACCUUUGAUCAAGAAUUAUACGACACAUUAAGGGAAAACUAAACGUAAGUAAGCUCAAACCAUACAUUAUGCAUACACUGAUCUACAGGGGUCUAUCAACCCGCUGUCACGUAGCAGAAACACUAUAGAUGAUUCAUUGUAAUUGUAAG